rnacentral:tRNA from 1 species
AAUUAUAAAGCUUUUAUAGCUUAUGUUUUGAAAGCAUACUUUUUAGUUAAUUCUAAUAUAAUUU